ACUCAAUGGAGGUGACCAGGAAGCCUGGAGGGGCACACUGAGGCCUCUGAUGCUCAGAAGCCCAGCACAGAUCCAGCAUCUGCCGAGCAUGUGUGCUCAGACCCCCACGAUGGCCCCCGCUGAGGGACGAGGAGGGAAGCCUGGGAAGGGCAGUGCCCAGGUGGCCCCUGCUGGGGGUGGCAGGGGGGGUCAGCUCCACACUGCACACAUUGUCCUGGAAGCUCUGCAGGUCACCAGCACACAGAGGUAAGCGUUGCCCACCCAGGAGCCAGACACCCAAGGAGGGCUUGCAGAGUGAGAAGACAGGCCAGAGGGUGGGGAGGGCGACACGGAGGGAUGGUGCAGUAAGGGAAGGCCCCGGGAGAGAAGGAGCAGAGUAGCGGGAGGAAAGCGGGGGAAAGAGUGUCAUGAAAGCAAGGUACAGCUCCCACAGUGGGGAAGAGGAUUCUGAGGGUCAGAGUGGUGACCUGACUUACCCAAAGCCGGCCUUUGACGCAGAGGCCCCUGCUCCUCUUCCUGUUGAGAGAAGCCAGGAAUGGGGAGGGAGAGGCAGCAGAAUGAGCUGAUAACUGGCAGGCUUUGAGGGAGUGAGUCGAGUGCACGUGAAGGGAAGGCCCUCUGGGCCAAGUCCAGGGCGGUGGCCUGAGGCAAGCGUGUGCCCACCACACAGCACCGUGAGGAGAAGCCAGCCAGCUGGAGCAGUGCACGGCAGGUGAGUGAGUGGGAGAUGAGGUCAGAGAGAUGGGGGGGCACCUUGACUUUGACCCUGAGUGAGAAGGGCUCAUGGAAGAGUUGCAAGCAGAUGGGGGAUGGACUCUGCCUUAUGUUCUUAGAGGGUCCCUCGGAGCCUGUGUUUACCUCAUAAGGGGCCAAGGGUAAAAGUCAAAGACCACAGAGAACUCAUCAAUAUGAAUAUACACGUUACACCAACAAAUUAAAUUAUUUAGUUGAACAAAUUAGAUCAUUUAACU
rnacentral:lncRNA from 1 species